GAUGAACGCUGGCGGCGUGCCUAAUACAUGCAAGUCGAGCGAACAGACGAGGAUCUUGCUCCUCUGACGUUAGCGGCGGACGGGUGAGUAACACGUGGAUAACCUACCUAUAAGACUGGGAUAACUUCGGGAAACCGGAGCUAAUACCGGAUAAUAUAUUGAACCGCAUGGUUCAAUAGUGAAAGACGGUUUUGCUGUCACUUAUAGAUGGUUCCGCGCCGCAUUAGUUAGUUGGUAAGGUAACGGCUUACCAAGGCAACGAUGCGUAGCCGACCUGAGAGGGGGAUCGGCCACACUGGAACUGAGAAACGGUCCAGACUCCUAGGGGAGGCAGAAGUAGGGAAUCUUCCGCAAUGGGCGAAAGCCUGACGGAGCAACGCGGCGUGAGUGAUGAAGGUCUUCGGAUCGUAAAACUCUGUUAUUAGGGAAGAACAAAUGUGUAAGUAACUAUGCACGUCUUGACGGUACCUAAGCAGAAAACCACGGCUAACUACGU
rnacentral:rRNA from 1 species